rnacentral:rRNA from 1 species
AUACGGAGGAUGCAAGCGUUAUCCGGAUUUAUUGGGUUUAAAGGGUGCGUAGGCUGUUCGGAAAGUCAGGGGUGAAAGCCCGGCGCCUAACGCCGGAACUGCCUUUGAUACUUCCGAGCUGGAAUACGGAUGCCGUGGGAGGAAUGAGUAGUGUAGCGGUGAAAUGCAUAGAUAUUACUCAGAACACCGAUUGCGAAGGCAUCUCCCGAGGCCGUCAUUGACGCGGAGGCACGAAAGCGUGGGGAUCAAACAGGAUUAGAUACCCUGGUAGUCCACGCAGUAAACGAUGAUGACUAACCGUCGGCGAUACACAGCCGGUGGCCAAGCGAAAGCGAUAAGGCAUCCACCUGGGGAGUACGUUCGCAAGAAUGAAACUUAAAGGAAUUGACGGGG